rnacentral:rRNA from 1 species
UACGGAGGAUCCGAGCGUUAUCCGGAUUUAUUGGGUUUAAAGGGAGCGUAGGCGGGUUGUUAAGUCAGUUGUGAAAGUUUGCGGCUCAACCGUAAAAUUGCAGUUGAUACUGGCAUCCUUGAGUACAGUAGAGGUAGGCAGAAUUCGUGGUGUAGCGGUGAAAUGCUUAGAUAUCACGAAGAACUCCGAUUGCGAAGGCAGCCUGCUGGACUGUAACUGACGCUGAUGCUCGAAAGUGUGGGUAUCAAACAGG